UGGGCAGGAUUUGUGUGUGGAGGGCUGUUGAACAGCCUGUGCUCCCUGGUGCAGAUGGAGACUGGAAUGAUCUUGUCCCCAGCUGAUCUGCUGAUUCUGUUCCCUGUGCCCUCCUGACACUACAGCUAUUACUCAAGUGAAUGACAGCGGAUCCUAAGGACUUGGAGUUGGAUUAACCUGAUGAAUCCACUGACUUUUCUGAAUGGACACGUUCAUCACUCUCAUCAGCAAAACAGUCAGAACCACAGGACCUCUGAAGUCACUCUUCCUGCAAGGGUGUUGCAGGAGUCCUUUGCGAGGACAUUUGUUGUAACAGAUUCUCACAUGCUGUGUCAUCUUCCAGGCAUACUUCCAUCAUUGCGAUGGCUGAAAGUAAUUGCAGAAAGUUCAGCCGAUUUUACCCGUAACACUAACAGGAUAUCCCUGAAUGUCGCUGUUUUGACUACAGGAAUGUGUUAAGACUCCUGUCCUUGAGUGUUAAAGGGCCAGAGGUUUUGGUAUCAAAGGAAGGUCCCCCAUGACUCAGAGAAUUCUCCUAACAAUUAUGCCUGAGAAAUUCCCUCUGGGAAAUACAAUGACUUGC
rnacentral:lncRNA from 1 species